rnacentral:piRNA from 1 species
UUUCCUUAUUAAAAGAAAGGACAUUAUGGUU